rnacentral:rRNA from 1 species
AACACAUGCAAGUCGAACGGAUUUGUAGCAAUACAAAUUAGUGGCAAACGGGCGCGUAACACGUAUCUAACCUCCCCUGAAGUUCUGGCCAACUAUAGAGAUAUAGCUAAUCCAGGAUGCGCCUCACAAAAUGAAAAUAUGUGAAGCAAAGGUUUACCGCUUUGGGAAGGGGAUGCGGCCUAUCAGGUAGUUGGUGGGGUAAUAGCCUACCAAGCCUAAGACGGGUAGCCGGUCUGAGAGGAUGUCCGGCCGCAAUGGAACUGAGACACGGUCCAUACUCCUACGGGAGGCAGCAGUGGGGAAUAUUGCACAAUGGGCGAAAGCCUGAUGCAGCGAUUCUGCGUGAAGGAUGAAGCCUCGUGGGGUGUAAACUUCUUUUCUGGGGGAAGACGAAUGACGGUACCUCAGGAAUAAGGGACGGCUAACUUCGUGCCAGCAGCCGCGGUAAUACGAAGGUCCCAAGCGUUAUCCGGAGUUACUGGGCGUAAAGCGUCUGUAGCCUGGUUUGUAAGUCUAUUUUCAAAUAUCCCAACUCAAUUGGGAAGAGGGAAUAGAUACUGCAUACCUAGAGUAUUGUAGGGGUUAGUAGAAUUUCCUGUGGAGCGGUGAAAUGCGUUGAUAUAGGAAGGAAUGCCAAAAGCGAAAGCAGCUAACUAUACAAUCACUGACGGUGAGAGACGACAGCGUGGGGAGCAAACGGGAUUAGAUACCCCGGUAGUCCACGCCGUAAACGAUGUUCGCUAAGUGUUUCUCAGGUUAUACCUGGGGAGUGCUGGAACCUAACGGGUUAAGCGAACCGCCUGGGUAGUAUACUCGCAAGAGUGAAACUCAAAGGGAUAGGCGGGGGAACACACAAGCAGUGGAUGAUCUAGAUUAAUUGGAUAGCAAGCCAAAAAUCUUACCUAGGCUUGACAUAGAAUGUGUCAUCGGCGAAAGUCGGUUAUUUGUAGCAAUACAAAGCGUUUUACAGGUGGUGCAUGGUCCUCGUCAGUUCGUGCCGCAAGGUGUCUAGUUAAUUCUAGUAACGGACGCAACCCUCGUCGUAUGUUAGAAUGUCAUACGAGACUGCCUGGGCAACCAGGAGGAAGGAGAGGACGACGUGAGAUCCUCAUGCCCCUUAUGUCUAGGGCUUCAUAGGUCAUACAAUGGGAAGAACAAUGCGAAGCAAGGCCACGAGGUUGAGCAAAACGCCAAAUUUUCCCUCAGUUCGGAUUGUAGUCUGGAACUCGACUACAUGAAGUUGGAAUUGCUAGUAAUGGCGAAUCAGCAAUGUCGCCGU